UACAGAGGUCUCAAGCGUUGUUCGGAUUCAUUGGGCGUAAAGGGUGCGUAGGCGGCGCGGUAAGUCGGGUGUGAAAUCUCGGAGCUUAACUCCGAAACUGCAUUCGAUACUGCCGUGCUUGAGGACUGGAGAGGAGACUGGAAUUUACGGUGUAGCGGUGAAAUGCGUAGAUAUCGCAAGGAAGACCAGUGGCGAAGGCGGGUCUCUGGACAGUUCCUGACGCUGAGGCACGAAGGUCAGGGGAGCAAACGGG
rnacentral:rRNA from 1 species